ACGGGAGGCAGCAGUGGGGAAUAUUGCACAAUGGGCGGAAGCCUGAUGCAGCGAUGCCGCGUGGAGGAAGAAGGUUUUCGGAUUGUAAACUCCUUUUAUCAGGGACGAUAAUGACGCUACCUGAAGAAAAAGCUCCGGCUAACUACGUGCCAGCAGCCGCGGUAAUACGUAGGGAGCGGGCGUUGUCCGGAAUUACUGGGUGUAAAGGGUGCGUAGGCGGGGAUGCAAGUCAGAUGUGAAAUGUAUGGGCUCAACCCAUGAACUGCAUUUGAAACUGCAACUCUUGAGUGAGGUAGAGGUAAGCGGAAUUCCUAGUGUAGCGGUGAAAUGCGUAGAUAUUGGGAAGAACACCAGUGGCGAAGGCGAUCUACUGGACGAUAACUGACGCUGAGGCGCGAAAGCGUGGGGAGCAAACAGGAUUAGAUACCCUGGUA
rnacentral:rRNA from 1 species